GGAUUAGAUACCCUGGUAGUCCACGCCCUAAACGGUGGGCAUUAGGUGUAGGGCUCGUAAGGGUUCUGUGCCGAAGGGAAACCAUUAAAUGCCCCGCCUGGGGAGUACGGCCGCAAGGUUGAAACUCAAAGGAAUUGACGGGGGCCCGCACAAGCGGUGGAGCAUGUGGUUUAAUUCGACGCUACGCGAAGAACCUUACCUGGGCUUGACAUGGUCGUGGUAAAAACCCGAAAGGGCGAUGACUUUGGGGUAACUCAAGGAGCGUCCACAGGUGCUGCAUGGCUGUCGUCAGCUCGUGUCG
rnacentral:rRNA from 1 species